rnacentral:rRNA from 1 species
UACGUAGGGUGCAAGCGUUAAUCGGAAUUACUGGGCGUAAAGCGUGCGCAGGCGGUUUUGUAAGUCUGUCGUGAAAUCCCCGGGCUCAACCUGGGAAUUGCGAUGGAGACUGCAAGGCUAGAAUCUGGCAGAGGGGGGUAGAAUUCCACGUGUAGCAGUGAAAUGCGUAGAGAUGUGGAGGAACACCGAUGGCGAAGGCAGCCCCCUGGGUCAAGAUUGACGCUCAU